UGGGCUUCACGCAUGCUACAAUGGCCGGUACAAAGGGCUGCGAUACCGCGAGGUGGAGCGAAUCCCAAAAAGCCGGUCUCAGUUCGGAUUGGGGUCUGCAACUCGACCCCAUGAAGUCGGAGUCGCUAGUAAUCGCAGAUCAGCAACGCUGCGGUGAAUACGUUCCC
rnacentral:rRNA from 1 species